GUGCUCACUUUAGAAGCACAUUUACUAAAGCUGUUACAACACAGAGAAGAUUAGCAUGGCCCCUGUGCAUAGAUGUCAUGCAAAUUCAUGAAGCAGUCCACAUUUUU
ensembl:snRNA U6 U6 spliceosomal RNA